GACAAUACCAAGGGAAUAGCUUGUCAACUAUUCUCCUAAGUAAGAAGAGACAUCCUUUUUAGGAUUCUAUAAAUGUAGAAUUCUUUGUCUACAGAUUGUUGUAUCUGCCACUCCGUCAAAGGCGAAAGGGAGUUGCUCCUCCUUCUUCGUCCCAGCCCGGCGUUUUUUCUUUGGUCUUGCUUGCUAAUUUCUCUGGUUUAUUAUGAAUUUCAGUGGAAAUACAGAAUUAUGUAACUCUCUUUGUGCUCAUUCCAAGGUAUAUCAUGGGGCGUUAUAGAGCAUCUGUGGGAAGACGCCUCUAGGCGUUUUGAUGAAAUUAUCCAUUGCCAGUGGAAAAAGUUGUGCUAUUGCUCAAUUCUAUUGUGACCAAUACUACUGUGGAGAUCAUGACCCUGACAAUGUUAUGAGAUCUGAGUAUGGGAGUGUGGGAGCAACUUGAAUUGUGUAAGACAGGUAUAUUCGCCUUUUCCCUCUAUAAAUUGGUGAAUUCG